rnacentral:rRNA from 1 species
GAACGCUGGCGGCGCGCCUAAUACAUGCAAGUCGAGCGAGAAGACGUAGCAAUACGUUUGUAAAGCGGCGAACGGGUGAGGAAUACAUGGGUAACCUACCCUCGAGUGGGGAAUAACUAGCCGAAAGGUUAGCUAAUACCGCAUACGACUCUUGGUCUGCGGAUCAAGAGAGAAAGCGAUACCGUGGGUAUCGCGCUCCUGGAUGGGCUCAUGUCCUAUCAGCUUGUUGGUGAGGUAACGGCUCACCAAGGCUUCGACGGGUAGCUGGUCUGAGAGGACGAUCAGCCACACUGGCACUGCGACACGGGCCAGACUCCUACGGGAGGCAGCAGUAAGGAAUAUUGCGCAAUGGGCGACAGCCUGACGCAGCGACGCCGCGUGGGGGAUGAAGGUCUUCGGAUUGUAAACCCCUUUCGGCAGGGAAGAUGGAACGGGUAACCGUUCGGACGGUACCUGCAGAAGCAGCCACGGCUAACUUCGUGCCAGCAGCCGCGGUAAUAC